UUAAUAAUAAAUAUUUUCUGCUCAAUGAAUUAAAAUUUAAAUAGCUGCAGUAUUUUGACUGUACAAAGGUAGCAUAAUCAUUUGAUUUUUUAUUGAAAUCUUGUAUGAAGGGAAGAAUGAAAUAAUGACUUUAAAAAAUUAAUAAAUUAAAUUUUAUUUAUAAGUUAAAAAUCUUAAAUUUUUUUUAAAGACGAGAAGACCCUAUAGAAUUUUAUAUAAAUUUUAAUAAUUUAAAUAAUUUUAUUAAUGAAUUUAAUUAAUUAAAAAUUAUAUUUAAUUGGGGUUAUUUAAAAAUUUAGUUAAAUUUUUAAUUAAUUAAAAAUUUAUAAAUUAGAUUAAAAACUAUUAAUAAUAAAAUUAAAUUAAAUUACCUUAGGGAUAACAGCGUAAUUAUUUUUGAAAGAUCUUAUUGAUAAAAUAGAUUGCGACCUCGAUGUUGAAUUAAGAUAAAUUUUUAAUGUAGAUAUUAAAAAAUUAAGUCUGUUCGACU
rnacentral:rRNA from 1 species